rnacentral:rRNA from 1 species
GAUGAACGCUGGCGGCGUGCCUAAUACAUGCCAGUCGAGCGAACAGAUGAGGAGCUUGCUCCUCUGACGUUAGCGGCGGACGGGUGAGUAACACGUGGAUAACCUACCUAUAAGACUGGGAUAACUUCGGGAAACCGGAGCUAAUACCGGAUAACAUGUUGAACCGCAUGGUUCAACAGUGAAAGACGGUCUUGCUGUCACUUAUAGAUGGAUCCGCGCCGCAUUAGCUAGUUGGUAAGGUAACGGCUUACCAAGGCAACGAUGCGUAGCCGACCUGAGAGGGUGAUCGGCCACACUGGAACUGAGACACGGUCCAGACUCCUACGGGAGGCAGCAGUAGGGAAUCUUCCGCAAUGGGCGAAAGCCUGACGGAGCAACGCCGCGUGAGUGAAGAAGGUCUUCGGAUCGUAAAACUCUGUUAUUAGGGAAGAACAAAUGUGUAAGUAACUAUGCACGUCUUGACGGUACCUAAUCAGAAAGCCACGGCUAACUACGUG